rnacentral:sRNA from 20 species
GUCCACCACCCCCGACUGAAGUCGGAGGCUUGCCGCAAGUCCAGCCCAGGUUGACCAGGGAAAGCGCUAACCAACCCGCUACGUUGCAUGGAGAGCAAAAGACCGACAUCGGGAUGCUUCUUUAGUCCCGGCCUCUCGA